GAUCUAGUAGCUUAGUUGGUUAGAGUGUCGUGUUAAUAACACGAAAGUUAUAGGUUUGAUUCUUAUUUGAGCCA
rfam:Glycine soja cultivar W05 scaffold4133_3, whole genome shotgun sequence.